AGGGAAUCUUCCACAAUGGACGCAAGUCUGAUGGAGCAACGCCGCGUGAGUGAAGAAGGUUUUCGGACCGUAAAGCUCUGUUGUUGGUGAAGAAGGAUAGAGGUAGUAACUGGCCUUUAUUUGACGGUAAUCAACCAGAAAGUCACGGCUAACUACGUGCCAGCAGCCGCGGUAAUCGUAGGUGGCAAGCGUUGUCCGGAUUUAUUGGGCGUAAAGCGAGCGCAGGCGGAAGAAUAAGUCUGAUGUGAAAGCCCUCGGCUUAACCGAGGAAUUGCAUCGGAAACUGUUUUUCUUGAGUGCAGAAGAGGAGAGUAGAACUCCAUGUGUAGCGGUGGAAUGCGUAGAUAUAUGGAAGAAUACCAGUGGCGAAGGCGGCUCUCUGGUCUGCAACUGACGCUGAGGCUCGAAAGCAUGGGUAGCGAACAGGAUUAGAUACCCUGGUAGUCCAUGCCGUAAACGAUGAGUGCUAAGUGUUGGGAGGCUUCCGCCUCUCAGUGCUGCAGCUAACGCAUUAAGCACUCCGCCUGGGGGAGUACGACCGCAAGGUUGAAAC
rnacentral:rRNA from 1 species